UAGGACUAUCUGCUGUGAAGCAUCCUCUACCAAUGGAUAARAYUUUGGUUUUUGUGUAGACGAGUUUUUGAAAAUAACGGAUCCAUACCGAUCCUCCGCAAGGGGGGUCGGUAUGGAUCCGUUAUUGAGUUGGUUUCUUUAGUAGUUUUUUACAUCUUUUUUUUAGUAUUUUUAUGCUUUUCUUUUUUUUUUAUCUAGUAUGAAAUAUUUGUUAUGCCCUAAGACUACUAARAAAAUUYUAAUAGAUUARAAUUUUARAGUUAAUUUAAUAGAAAARAGAAAGGGGUAGUUUUUUCUCCUUUGAUCUUCAUUUGGAUCUUAAUAAGUAAGAUAAGAUAAAAAAAAAAAUAAUGAUCAAUGAUUCAAUUUCAG
rnacentral:misc_RNA from 1 species